UGUGGUUUGUUAUGUAAAGGGGACUGAUGAUUUGGUUUCUCAAUUUUGUUGCUUUGAUAAGCCUUUCCAGGAAAUGAAGUGGGUGUAGACAGAAUAUCAGUCUUUUUUUACUGACACUGGAUUUCUGCGUUCCCUGAGUGUGGUGGGUGGCUUGUGGACCUUAGAACAUCUGGAUCAAGAGGGCUAAAUUCACUAUAGGAGAAAUGGGUCAUUCGUAAUAUCUGCAAUUCUUCUGAUGAACUCACAGGAGUAGGAAAAGGGAGGAAAUGCAACUUGAUUCUCUUCCUUGUACUUUUACCCAAGCGAUGCCCACCUCUCCUGGAUACUGUAUGGCGGCUUGGAAACUAUAGGGUUGACCCCACGAGCAGUGUCAAGGUAACUAAGGCCAGGGAGAUGGAUGUCAGCCUUGUGCACGAAUUCAAAGAGAAAGUUGGGACAUUUCAGUAACAAUCCAGGACUGCGGGUUGAGCUGUCAAAAUCAAGACUGUCCUGGGAGAAACUUUGGACAGUUGGGAGGUCCUGUCCACGGAGCUCACAGGUGCCAUCUUCUCCCAAGCG